rnacentral:tRNA from 1 species
GCUCGGGUGGCGGAAUGGCAGACGCGCCAGGUUGAGGGCCUGGUGACCGCAAGGUUGUGGAGGUUCAAAUCCUCUCCCGAGCA